rnacentral:rRNA from 1 species
GAUGAACGCUGGCGGCGUGCCUAAUACAUGCAAGUCGAGCGAACAGACGAGGAGCUUGCUCCUCUGACGUUAGCGGCGGACGGGUGAGUAACACGUGGAUAACCUACCUAUAAGACUGGGAUAACUUCGGGAAACCGGAGCUAAUACCGGAUAAUACAUUGAACCGCAUGGUUCAAUAGUGAAAGACGGUUUUGCUGUCACUUAUAGAUGGAUCCGCGCCGCAUUAGCUAGUUGGUAAGGUAACGGCUUACCAAGGCAACGAUGCGUAGCCGACCUGAGAGGGUGAUCGGCCACACUGGAACUGAGACACGGUCCAGACUCCUACGGGAGGCAGCAGUAGGGAAUCUUCCACAAUGGGCGAAAGCCUGACGGAGCCACGCCGCGUGAGUGAUGAAGGUCUUCGGAUCGUAAAACUCUGUUAUUAGGGAAGAACAAAUGUGUAAGUAACUAUGCACGUCUUGACGGUACCUAAUCAGAAAGCCACGGCUAACUACGUG